UUAAAAAAACGUUCUAAAAAAAUCGUGAAUAAAAGUUUAUAGAUUAUAUUAUAACUCGCAGAGAGUAGUGAUUUAGCAAAUUAGGUAAAACAAAAACCCAAAAUUAUAAUUCGCAAUUUGUAAUUAUACAAAACCAAUUACAGCCUAGGAUCGAUUUGUACCUAUGGUAUAGUGAAAGCGAGUUAAAGUUGUGAAUAAUCGAAGAUUGAAUUGGAUAUCACCCACCGUUCAACGUGGGUGUUGGUUUAGGAGUGACGGAAUCACCCUAACCUGGGCACGCUAUAGAAUUCCACAGCGAGGAGAAACCAGCCCUGUGAAGCUUUUCCCAGCGUCCGCACUUUUGUACCAUCCAGCCCGUGGCCCACCGUUCACCUUGCCGGUGUUAUCGCCAAACUCUCCACAUUUGUCAACCAAGCCAACCACCCCGCUCGCCACACCGUGAAAGCUCGACCCACGUGCAAAGCUACCGUUUGUUCGACGUAGCUCCCGUAUGUAGGCAACGGUUAACACCUUUAUCGUCGCAAGAACACUGAGCCAAAUAUCCAUACGGCAGUGGUGUGAACACCAGGCAGAGUGAAUUUGUUGCGGAUCGUUGCUCUACGCAUCAGCACGACGGGGUCCACGUGUACUAGCGGCCGAUAGCCGAUCGGGUUAGUUGCGCGCCCCCCCUGGGGAACGGAUUGGUCACCGGCCACAAAGAACGGCCAGCGUUGGAAACGUCUGGAAAGGCAGGAACGCAGUAAGCAAAUGCCCACCGUAAUCAGGUCAGAAAGUUAGAUAAUAAGUUCGAAGAGUAAUUAUAAAUUAUAAAAGCGUGACGUCACCAUUAGAUUAGGAUUAGAACAUGAAUACACGUAGACAAUACUUUGUGAUCCUAAACUA